CUCGGCCCCAAGCCCCACCUCCACGCUGCCGUCCUGGAGCACAUCUUGCCACCCCAAAGGUGUGGCUGGCAAGAAUGCAAACCAGCCUGUGCAUUUACCGCGGCGGCGUGCGAUGGCAGCGGGUGGUCUACUUCUUUGACUCCGUGGCCUUUGCGGACCUCGUGAGGAUGUCACCCAUAUUGAUUCUUCUGGUGUUUUGAGGACGCAUGCUGUGUAUAUCUUCCCCCUGAGGAGGUUGAACCAGACAAUCUACUUGUUCCAUACUUAAUAACCUACUAAUGUAUGUAUACUUUAUUUCGCCUGGAGAAAGAGCACCUACCCGGGCUGCACCUGUGAUGGUGGCCUCGUGGUCCUACGAGUGCAGGAUCUGCCUGGACGAGUUCAAGAACGCCGGCAGGUCGGGCUGAGUGAACCUGCCCUGCCUGCACGCUGUUGCUGUCCGCAACGGGGCACUGUUGAUGUCGGUGGAGAGGAUACCACAAUCUUCGUCCCUCGCUGCUGGGCGUCCAGGAUGCAUCAGCAUCAAGUAACGGGGGAUGACAAUUCAGUUGUUUAUUCAGAAAAGUUCAACGCUUAGAGCUGUGGCACUUUUAAGCAUGCUAAUAAACGAGGACUAGGUGGGAUCAGGAGAGACUGGGGUAGCAGCUUGAACCUGCAGCUGCUGCCCACAGGAUGAUGCAUCGCUUGGAAGGAAGCUGGAAGACCCCGGGGACAAGCUCGGACGAACUUCCUUUCAAGCGCCUUGCUGAGUUCUGCAUAUAUCUGGAGAUCUUGACCACGGCGACGACUUGCUCCACUCACAACGCCGCUAAGGACAAGGACAACUACGAUUCAUAGAAAUGUAUAUCUCGCUGCUUUUUAUGACAAGUUGUGAGUUUUGGUGCUGCCCAUACUUUCAGAUAUUAGGCUUUUGCUGCAUUCAUAGGGCUUCUGUCAUCAUUGUUCACCUUUUCCUUUUAAAUGUAAAAUAUGUUGUAUGCAUAGUCUAGAUGUAUGCAACCUGUUGAAACUUGUAUGCUUACCCUGUGCCAUGGAUAUGUGUCGUAGUGUGAUUGAAUGCAUGAUUUCCUUGUCCUUUUUUGUUCAAGCUUUGCCUGCCAUGGAUGCAUGCUCUGUCCUUGCCUGUUGCAUCUAACCGUUGCGAAUUUAGCUUGCUGGUUGGAGUGUUUGGUUCCGGUAACCUGAAGUUCUAGUUCUCAUUGAUCUCUUUUUAAUUGGUGAUUGUUAGUGUUAUCUUGCGACAUAAUAGCUCAAUAUUAUGCUUUUCUUGAUUAGUGUGUUCAUACUUAUUCUGUAGCUUAUGAAAGCUCAAAUAUCGUGCAUAGAUCUGACCAUCAUGUGUUUGUUCUUGUUGUUGGAGGAUACUGCGGAGGUUAUCUAUAUGCUGCUGGAGACCCGAUGCAUCACCUGGGAAGCUGGAAGACAUGAUGCUACCACCUCUUUGUAGCAGCAGCUUUCUAGCACGUUGAUGCUAAACACUUGGAUGCCAUUUAACGCAUGAACAGCCCAGGUUUCGGAUCUGGAAGUAUGUCCUAAUGCAGCGAUCUUGCAUUGUAUGUAACCAUCCUAUGAUGGGAUUGCAGAAACCUGCAUGAUGUGCAUCAGCUUUGCUUUGCAAGUUGUUCGUUAUCCGGCGUUGAGAAAAUUCUGGUUGAGUGUAUGUUGAUAUGUCACAUGGGUUGGGACUAUUGUUUUAGUUGUAGUCAUUGCUUGGUGUGCAGGUUUGGAUGUUCUAAAAAGCUUACAUUAGCUGAUCGACGUGUAAAACAGAUAAUGCUAAUUGUCCAUUCUUGAGCCAAGCAGGUUUUAUUCUGAAAUGUAAGUUUCUCGAUCA